UAUUGUAUAAAACCAAAUCAAACCAACAAACCUUGGCGUGGUGGUGUGCGUUUCUAGUGCCAUCCUGAGUUUGGUUACAUCUACACCUGAGGAACCGGAGACAGGUGGCUCCCUCUCUACACUACCUGCCAGCCAGUCAGCCUCAUCUACUUAGCAAGCUCCAAGUUAACGAGAGAACCCAUUUCAGUAAACAAGGUGGAGGCUCCUGAGUAACCAGUGACACCCCCCAGGUUGUCCCCUGCUUUCCGCCUGCAUUAUCACACAUGUGUGUGCACACAUGAGAACAUAUUCACACAUGUACACACAUACAUGAGUAUGCUCAUACAUGUGUGUGCACACAUGAACAUAUUCACACAUGUACACACACAAACGUGUGCACACACACACACACACACACACACACACGAACAUCCUCACACACAAAAUGAAUGGGUAUUAGUUUAAGCCAAUCAUUAACACUGAGUUGGUGUUUUCUUUUUGUCGAUGUUGUUUUUUGUUGUUGUUACAAAGUAAUAAAAGAUGAAUCCAAACCACAAGUUUAAAUAUUCUGAAGUCCUAUGUCAAGCUUCAUCACUGUUAAAGUAUGUGCUAUCCAUCUGUUGUGACAUACGUCUUCACAAUAACCACGAAGGCUCGGGUCAUGGUCAUAGUCCUCUGAGGAUUUGGAGUUCUGUGCCAGGAGGCAGCUGCCUGGGGGAGGGUUGGCCCCUUGGAUCCUAGGCCUUGCCUGUGGUCUCAUUUUUCUGAUCAUCUCAUUCCUGUUUCCAUCUUGGAGCAGAAGGUGCAGAGAGCCCAUCCCAGAGAAGCCAAAUUCACUCACUCUUCUGCAGACAGCUGGCCCUUGGGAGCAGGAUGUGGUUUGUCUUUGGUUUCCUGCCUGAUUGGGGAGGAACGCUGCCCAGAUCUGUGUGCAAGAUGCCUCAACUGAGGAAACCGCUGGAAUCUUAUUUGAAGGAGAACUUGGCCCCAGAGCCCCUUCCCCACUCACUAGUGAGACAGUGCCAAGACUUCAGUCACUGCCACCAAACUCCAGCAAACCCCAAACCACAGGAAUGCAACCGGGUCGGUCACCUGGGGACAACGGAAUGAGGUGACUCUGCUCCACGGCUCCUCCCUCUGCUUCUUCCCCUCCAUGUCUCUGGCACGAGGGAGAGCUGACUGGUUGGACUGAGCCCUCUCCAAAUCCAAGCCUCCUGGGGUGCAAGGACUUUCUGGGUCAGGCUCUAAGGCUGGAGGAGAGCAGAGGGCAGGACUGGGGUUGGGUAUUGGUUCACAUCCGGCUGGUGCUUAUUAGGACAGAAGAGGGAGGGAUGGAAGCUUGACUAACUGUGCUGGAAUAACCAUGAACAUGCAUAAUCAUAGACCAAGAAGAUGCUCGGAAGAAAAGGUUACAUUUUGAACACAAGGGGCCUGACUUUGGAGUAUCCCCCAAUUAACAAGAACCAACCAACCAACCAACCAACCAAAACCUUGAAGAUAGUAAGUGUUAGCUAAGCAAAGAGGUAUACAUGGAGGAGCUCGCUAGUGGCGACAGG